AACUUACCUGUACGUUGCUUCGGCGGGAAUAGACGGCCCCGUGAAACGGGCCGCCCCCGCCAGAGGACCCUUAACUAUGUUUCUAUAAUGUUUCUUCUGAGUAAAACAAGCAAAUAAAUUAAAACUUUCAACAACGGAUCUCUUGGCUCUGGCAUCGAUGAAGAACGCAGCGAAAUGCGAUAAGUAAUGUGAAUUGCAGAAUUCAGUGAAUCAUCGAAUCUUUGAACGCACAUUGCGCCCGCCAGUAUUCUGGCGGGCAUGCCUGUUCGAGCGUCAUUACAACCCUCAGGCCCCCGGGCCUGGCGUUGGGGAUCGGCGGAGCCCCCCGUGGGCAUACGCCGUCCCCCAAAUACAGUGGCGGUCCCGCCGCAACUUCCAUCGCGUAGUAGCUAACACCUCGCGACUGGAGAGCGGCGCGGCCACGCCGUAAAACACCCAACUCUUCUGAA
rnacentral:misc_RNA from 1 species